rnacentral:rRNA from 2 species
GUGCUUGCAUCAUGAUUUACAUUUGAGUGAGUGGCGAACUGGUGAGUAACACGUGGGAAACCUGCCCAGAAGCGGGGGAUAACACCUGGAAACAGAUGCUAAUACCGCAUAACAACUUGGACCGCAUGGUCCGAGUUUGAAAGAUGGCUUCGGCUAUCACUUUUGGAUGGUCCCGCGGCGUAUUAGCUAGAUGGUGGGGUAACGGCUCACCAUGGCAAUGAUACGUAGCCGACCUGAGAGGGUAAUCGGCCACAUUGGGACUGAGACACGGCCCAAACUCCUACGGGAGGCAGCAGUAGGGAAUCUUCCACAAUGGACGAAAGUCUGAUGGAGCAACGCCGCGUGAGUGAAGAAGGGUUUCGGCUCGUAAAACUCUGUUGUUAAAGAAGAACAUAUCUGAGAGUAACUGUUCAGGUAUUGACGGUAUUUAACCAGAAAGCCACGGCUAACUACGUGCCAGCAGCCGCGGUAAUACGUAGGUGGCAAGCGUUGUCCGGAUUUAUUGGGCGUAAAGCGAGCGCAGGCGGUUUUUUAAGUCUGAUGUGAAAGCCUUCGGCUCAACCGAAGAAGUGCAUCGGAAACUGGGAAACUUGAGUGCAGAAGAGGACAGUGGAACUCCAUGUGUAGCGGUGAAAUGCGUAGAUAUAUGGAAGAACACCAGUGGCGAAGGCGGCUGUCUGGUCUGUAACUGACGCUGAGGCUCGAAAGUAUGGGUAGCAAACAGGAUUAGAUACCCUGGUAGUCCAUACCGUAAACGAUGAAUGCUAAGUGUUGGAGGGUUUCCGCCCUUCAGUGCUGCAGCUAACGCAUUAAGCAUUCCGCCUGGGGAGUACGGCCGCAAGGCUGAAACUCAAAGGAAUUGACGGGGGCCCGCACAAGCGGUGGAGCAUGUGGUUUAAUUCGAAGCUACGCGAAGAACCUUACCAGGUCUUGACAUACUAUGCAAAUCUAAGAGAUUAGACGUUCCCUUCGGGGACAUGGAUACAGGUGGUGCAUGGUUGUCGUCAGCUCGUGUCGUGAGAUGUUGGGUUAAGUCCCGCAACGAGCGCAACCCUUAUUAUCAGUUGCCAGCAUUAAGUUGGGCACUCUGGUGAGACUGCCGGUGACAAACCGGAGGAAGGUGGGGAUGACGUCAAAUCAUCAUGCCCCUUAUGACCUGGGCUACACACGUGCUACAAUGGAUGGUACAACGAGUUGCGAACUCGCGAGAGUAAGCUAAUCUCUUAAAGCCAUUCUCAGUUCGGAUUGUAGGCUGCAACUCGCCUACAUGAAGUCGGAAUCGCUAGUAAUCGCGGAUCAGCAUGCCGCGGUGAAUACGUUCCCGGGCCUUGUAC